rnacentral:misc_RNA from 1 species
CUCUAUAGCUGGUGCUUAAGAGCCUUCCAAUGUAGCAUUGAUUUGUUACCAAGAUGCUUUCUUUACACCAUUCAACAUACCUUGGGAUGCCAACUCACGGAAAACAAUACGAGACAUUCGAAAGACCUGAUAAACAGCACGAGGGCGACCCGUAAAAAUACACCUAUUUCUCACUCGUGUAAAAGAACUGUUUCUCGGCAACUUAGACAGCUUGUAUUGGAAUUUCUCACGAAUUUCCGUUGGAAGCUGAGGAUCUCUAACAAGCGCUUUGAAAAGAUUUCGUUUCAAUUCAAAGCAAGCAACCUAAGAUGAUUAUCCUUUAUACAACGAUUCUCCUCGUACACUGACAUCUUGCAAAGUUUUCCCCCGUGAACAGUAGAUCAGCUAGGGUUUUAGCAG